AUAUGUGGUACAAACCGAUACCAGGUUAAAUAACUGUCAUAUAAUCACGCAACGAGAUAACAAAUGCUUUACAACGAAGAAUAAACCAAAAAUGCUACCAACCGUCCCUAGAGCAAGUGGCAAAGGGCUUGAUGCUUGGUACCCGAGAUUCCAAGUUUGAAUCCUAGUUGAUUCACAUUUCCAGCUAAGUUUAUUUCUAAAAUGAAAUAAAGCUUAACGAAACAGGUAACAUAUUACCUAUCUCUCCAAAAA
rnacentral:lncRNA from 1 species